rnacentral:rRNA from 1 species
GACGAGCGCUGGCGGCGUGCUUAACACAUGCAAGUCGAACGGUGAAGCGCCUUCCUUUUUGGUGGGUGUGGAUGAGUGGCGAACGGGUGAGUAACACGUGAGUAACCUGCCCCCUUCUUCUGGAUAACCGCAUGAAAGUGUGGCUAAUACGGGAUAUUCUGGGUCUGUCGCAUGAUGGGUCUGGGAAAGAUAUUGUUUCGGUGGGGGAUGGGCUCGCGGCCUAUCAGCUUGUUGGUGGGGUGAUGGCCUACCAAGGCGGUGACGGGUAGCCGGCCUGAGAGGGUGGACGGUCACACUGGGACUGAGACACGGCCCAGACUCCUACGGGAGGCAGCAGUGGGGAAUAUUGCACAAUGGGCGCAAGCAUGAUGCAGCGACGCCGCGGGAGGGAUGGAGGCCUUCGGGUUGUGAACCUCUUUCGCCAGUGAAGCAGGCCUGCCUCGUUUGUGGGUGGGUUGACGGUAGCUGGAUAAGAAGCGCCGGCUAACUACGUG